rnacentral:tRNA from 3 species
GACCCGUUAGCUCAGGUGGUAGAGCAACUGACUUUUAAUCAGUGGGUCGUAGGUUCGAGUCCUACACGGGUCACCA